rnacentral:rRNA from 2 species
UAGGGAAUCUUCGGCAAUGGGGGGAACCCUGACCGAGCAACGCCGCGUGAGUGAAGAAGGUUUUCGGAUCGUAAAGCUCUGUUGUUAAGGAAGAACGAGUGUGAGAAUGGAAAGUUCAUGCUGUGACGGUACUUAACCAGAAAGGGACGGCUAACUACGUGCCAGCAGCCGCGGUAAUACGUAGGUCCCGAGCGUUGUCUGGAUUUAUUGGGCGUAAAGCGAGCGCAGGCGGUUAGAAAAGUCUGAAGUGAAAGGCAGUGGCUCAACCAUUGUAGGCUUUGGAAACUGUUUAACUUGAGUGCAGAAGGGGAGAGUGGAAUUCCAUGUGUAGCGGUGAAAUGCGUAGAUAUAUGGAGGAACACCGGUGGCGAAAGCGGCUCUCUGGUCUGUAACUGACGCUGAGGCUCGAAAGCGUGGGGAGCGAACAGG